rnacentral:rRNA from 1 species
UACAGAGGUCUCAAGCGUUGUUCGGAUUCAUUGGGCGUAAAGGGUGCGUAGGCGGCGCGGUAAGUCGGGGUGUGAAAUUUCGAGGCUUAACUUCGAAACUGCAUUCGAUACUGCCGUGCUAGAGGACUGGAGAGGAGACUGGAAUUUACGGUGUAGCGGUGAAAUGCGUAGAUAUCGUUAAGGAAGACCAGUGGCGAAGGCGGGUCUCUGGACAGUUCCUGACGCUGAGGCACGAAGGCCAGGGGAGCAAACGGG